rnacentral:rRNA from 1 species
GACGAACGCUGGCGGCGUGCUUAACACAUGCAAGUCGAGCGGUAAGGCCCUUUCGGGGGUACGACGAGCGGCGAACGGGUGAGUAACACGUGGGUGACCUGCCCUCAGCUCUGGGAUAAGCCUGGGGAACCGGGUCUAAUACUGGAUAUGACUCCAUGACGCAUGUUGUGGGGUGGAAAGCCUUGUGCGGCUGAGGAUGGGCCCGCGGCCUAUCAGCUUGUUGGUGGGGGAUGGCCUACCAAGGCGACGACGGGUAGCCGGCCUGAGAGGGCGACCGGCCACACUGGGACUGAGACACGGCCCAGACUCCUACGGGAGGCAGCAGUGGGGAAUCUUGCGCAAUGGGCGAAAGCCUGACGCAGCGACGCCGCGUGAGGGAUGACGGCCUGGUGUAAC